AUUGAACGCUGGCGGCAGGCGUAACACAUGCAAGUCGAGCGAGAGGCGGACGGGUGAGUAAUGUCUGGGAAACUGCCUGAUGGAGGGGGAUAACUACUGGAAACGGUAGCUAAUACCGCAUACCAUCGGAUGUGCCCAGAUGGGAUUAGCUAGUAGGUGGGGUAAAGGCUCACCUAGGCGACGAGCCCUAGCUGGUCUGAGAGGAUGACCAGCCACACUGGAACUGAGACACGGUCCAGACUCCUACGGGAGGCCGCAGUGGGGAAAAUUGAACAAAGGGCGCAAGCCUGAUGCAGCCAUGCCGCGUGUAUGAAGAAGGCCUUCGGGUUGUAAAGUACUUUCAGCGGGGAGGCGUUACCCGCAGAAGAAGCACCGGCUAACUCCGUGCCAGCCGCCGCGGUAAUAC
rnacentral:rRNA from 1 species